GGUUAGCUCAAUCGGUAGAGCGUGAGACUCUUACGUAUUCGCGUUCUCAGAAAACGAUUGAAUCGUCGCAAUCUCAAGGUUGCGGGUUCGACCCGUAAGUUCCA